ensembl:processed_transcript
UAUAUAUAUACACACACAUACACACACACACACACACGCAGGGUGAUUCAAAAAAAAUAACACAACUUUGAAAAUUGAGAGCUCUGCAAAGAAGAAAAGGAGAGUGAAGCUCUUUCUGUCGUCGAUUUAUGGAAGCUCUGAAGUUUCACAUUGAGGAAUUAAAAGAAGGAAUAACUGGAGCUAUCCAAACUGUGACGCCCGAGAUGCUACAGAGAGUGUGGAACGAUUGGGUUGAUGUCACUCGAGUGCCUGGAGGAGGUCAUAUUGAAGCACUCUCCACAUUAAUUAAUUAACAAGAUUCCCUCAUGUUUCUUUGAUUAAAUACAGAUUUUCAAAGUUGUGGGAUUCUUUUUGAAUCCCUGUGUGUGUGUGUGUGUGUGUGUGUGUGUGUGCGUGCGUGCGUGCGUGCGUGCGUGCGUGCGUACGUACACACUCUACUGGUCAAAAGUUUAGGGUCAGUUUUGUUUUUUGUUUUUUAAUGACUCUGUUCAUGGGUGAAGCAGUGGCGCAGUAGGUAGUGCUGUCGCCUCACAGCAAGAAGGUCUCGGCCGUUAGAUCGCCCCCUGGGGGCUGGCUGCAGUACAAGUCAUAAAGCCCUCCUCCUCUGUGUUAAUGAAGGAGACUUGAGCCCAAAUAAAAAAAUGUAUUACACUUGCAAUAAACUGUCCCGAAAGAUGGUUCUGGUGGAUUAAGGCACUGGUUAUUGUGCUGAAAUAGGUGCAGAUCCUCAUUUUUGUAAACAGUUUGUUUUUAGCAGUAAUUUAAUGCUGGGCGUGUCAUCGUGAUUGACAGCUGUGAUUGACAGUUUCUCAAAGCAGCGCGUCUGAGCUUCGGCAGGAGACUGAAGUGUUAUUAUUCAAUUUCUGUGUUAUUUUACCAUGACAACAUGAGUUCAGCAGUAAACUACAGUUUCUGACAUACAUGAUCUGGUGGAACACUGUUUAUUCGCUAAGGUCAGGGCUUUUUUCGGGCUUUAUUAGUUUGCUGAUACACGCCUAACCACCCAGAUAGCAAAAUACACUCGGGCCAGUUCCGGCUAGAUUCUCGCCUGCCGGAGACUCACCCCUCUGAGCUCAGACUGACUACCUCUGCUGGACCUACUCUGGAUGCCUGGACUCACUGCCCGAUUCCAGCCCGAGUCAAUCGAGCCAGAUGCGGCGGCCGAGCGAGCCGGCGCUGCCGCAUGCGAGCCGGAAUCAGCCCGCGACGCCGCGAGUAGGUUAUGCGCUGCGGCCCGGAGCUGGCGCGAUUGAAUAUAUAAAACCCUCAUAUUUGUUAACGUUAUUACAUCCAUCUGUGUUGAUAUGACAGCAAACGCAUGCUGAGAAGUUCGGGGGGCGUGGUUGAUUUUACAUAAAGCGUUUGAUUGGAAGCUCGACUCCACUCAUUUUCGCGGCUCCUCCUCUGGCUCCAUCAGACAGUCCUUCUGCGCAUGUCUGGCUCCAAUUUCAGCAGUCUUUUGCGACAGUUUGUGCCCGUCAAGCAGGCGUUUUGCCCUCAAGGCGUUCAAUGGGAAAAGGGGCUGUCGCGUCGUCCAUAUUUUUUACAGUCAUUGGUAUGCAGCAUGUUAUCUGAGCAGAUCUGGAUCAUGCUUGAUGUUCAACAAAACUAAACUGAUUUCUAGAGUUCCCACUGAGGGUGCUUUCACACCCGUGAAUCGAUACAGUUGUUCCAAAACGGAUUAAACUUGUUACAUUGUUGCUCUUUGUUCUUGGUGCGGUUCACUUUCACACAGCAGAGUUUCUAAACCAGGGGUCACCAACAUGUUGACAACUUGUGUUGCCCGCAGGCCUGUUCUAAAUAUAGCUCACCAUAGUGCCACUUACCAGUAAGCUUCAUCUAAUAUAGAAGUAAUCAUUUAAAAAAGUAAAUAUUUGCAGAGAUAUAUAAAAAUAAAGUGUUGCACAUUGAUGCAUUAAAUGCAGGUUAUUUCCUACCCUGUUAACUCAUUGUCAGGGCUCAACAAUAAGGACUGCCCGAUGGCCCGGGGCCA